GUUCAAAACAAACAUUGCAUUAUUGAUCAAAGAAUUGUAGACUAAUGUUAUUUUAUAUUUUUUAAGAGUAAAACGCAUGUACACUAAUAUUGCCCUGUUACUAAUUAUGAGAUUUUCAGGUAAGUUAUUGAGCUAUUUCUGUUUGAUUUGUUAGGAGAUUAGUUUUGUCCGUUUACAAGUUAACCUUGCUUGUGUUAUUCUUGGCAAGUAAUCAUUUCUUAUACAAAUUUUUGUACACUAUAGGCUUAUUAUUUAAAUUUUAGGUAGCGUGUGGAGAUUUCAUCUUAUGUUCAUGAGCGCACAACGUAUAAAAUCAUAAUAAAUGUUUUCUGCUGGUGUGUAGCAGUUAACCGCAUUUAAGUAAAAAUAUUUUGAAAUAAUUGUUACCAGAGCUGAAUUACAUUCAGGCUUGUGGAGAACAGCUUUUUUUUAUCUACUCUUUGGCUGGCCAAUGUAAAUAAGCAAUUAUUUCAUGAAUGCAGCGAGAGAGUUUAUUUGAUGUAUUUUAAAAUCACUGAUAAUAUUUAUUGGUGUAUUUUAAAAUCACUGAUAAUAUUUAUUGGUGUAUUUUAAAAUCGCUGAUAAUAUUUGUUUUGUGGCUGGAAGAUGGUAACCAUGGUGACUUGUGAAUUUUUAUGAAGGAUUAAUAAAAAGCAGUAAAAAUUA